AUUAGUCACUUUUUCAUGUAUAUAUUUUCUUGGUGGUAUGGCAUAUUUGAAAAUUGUCAGGGGAGCAUCAGGAUUUGAAAUGAUUCCAAAUUAUGAAUUUUGGUUAGAUUUUCCAUUACUAGUUCGGGAUGGUGUGAUAUUUGUCUUGAGUGGUUGUAGAGCUGAAACAACUUAUGAAAGAAUCUAGCAAAACAUUACUUGAAAAGAAACCAUGUGCCUAUAUACAUAUGUAUUUUCUAGUUGGAUCCAAUCUCGCGUCUCAGGAUGAAUGAUUUACAUAGACUUGUACAUAAUGAAUGAAUGAAGAUACUAGCAUAAAUGUUCCCAAUAUUUGAAAAUUAACUAUAAAUCAGUUGGAAUUUUUUGUGAACAUUCAAUGAUUUUUUUUUUUUUUUAAUAGUAAUUUGCUAUGCACGGAUCAGAUCUGUUUUAAGGAAUAUCAUUGUCCAAUGUGGAACCAACUUUCAGAUUCAAAAAGUUUGCUUUGAUGAUUUUUUCAACCAAAAACAAAACAAAGUUUUGUAAGACACUUUGAUAAAAAGCUCUCAUUUUUAUUAUCAAUGCUAAAAUGGUAAGGUAACUUUUUACUGUGAUAUUGCUUAUUGCUUUCAUUAACUACGUUAUUACUAAAAAUGUAUAGUCUUUGUUAUUGAUAUUCGGAUAUAUUUUAAAAUAUUUGUUUUCUGUAAAUUUUUUAAAAUAAUUAAUCUUAGCAAUAUCAGAAGUUCCAGUAAACACUGAAUACUGUUUCCAUAUAUCACAAUAAUAAUUUAGGGAAGUCAUUUCAAAAAAUCUCAACAUAUCUUUUAAAGUUCUUACGAAUUUUGGACACA